UGGGGAAUAUUGGACAAUGGGCGCAAGCCUGAUCCAGCAAUGCCGCGUGGGUGAAGAAGGUUUUCGGAUUGUAAAGCCCUUUCGGCGGGGACGGUGAUGACGGUACCCGCAGAAGAAGCUCCGGCUAACUUCGUGCCAGCAGCCGCGGUAAUACGCAGGGGGCUAGCGUUGCUCGGAAUGACUGGGCGUAAAGGGCGCGUAGGCGGUGGUCAUAGUCGGGUGUCAAAUUCCUGGGCUUAACCUGGGGGCUGCAUUCGAUGCGUGGCGGCUUGAGUGGGGAAGAGGGUCGUGGAAUUCCCAGUGUAGAGGCGAAAUUCGUAGAUAUUGGGAAGAACACCGGUGGCGAAGGCGGCGACCUGGUCCUUUACUGACGCUGAGGCGCGAAAGCGUGGGGAGCAAACA
rnacentral:rRNA from 1 species